GCUUGCACUCAAUUGGAAAGAGGAGUGGCGGACGGGUGAGUAACACGUGGGUAACCUACCCAUCAGAGGGGGAUAACACUUGGAAACAGGUGCUAAUACCGCAUAACAGUUUAUGCCGCAUGGCAUAAGAGUGAAAGGCGCUUUCGGGUGUCGCUGAUGGAUGGACCCGCGGUGCAUUAGCUAGUUGGUGAGGUAACGGCUCACCAAGGCCACGAUGCAUAGCCGACCUGAGAGGGUGAUCGGCCACACUGGGACUGAGACACGGCCCAGACUCCUACGGGAGGCAGCAGUAGGGAAUCUUCGGCAAUGGACGAAAGUCUGACCGAGCAACGCCGCGUGAGUGAAGAAGGUUUUCGGAUCGUAAAACUCUGUUGUUAGAGAAGAACAAGGACGUUAGUAACUGAACGUCCCCUGACGGUAUCUAACCAGAAAGCCACGGCUAACUACGUGCCAGCAGCCGCGGUAAUACGUAGGUGGCAAGCGUUGUCCGGAUUUAUUGGGCGUAAAGCGAGCGCAGGCGGUUUCUUAAGUCUGAUGUGAAAGCCCCCGGCUCAACCGGGGAGGGUCAUUGGAAACUGGGAGACUUGAGUGCAGAAGAGGAGAGUGGAAUUCCAUGUGUAGCGGUGAAAUGCGUAGAUAUAUGGAGGAACACCAGUGGCGAAGGCGGCUCUCUGGUCUGUAACUGACGCUGAGGCUCGAAAGCGUGGGGG
rnacentral:rRNA from 1 species